rnacentral:rRNA from 1 species
UUGACCUCGGAUCAGGUAGGAAUG